CAUGGUUCAGAAACCCUACUCUAAAUAUAUUUUCAAAAAUAAAAUUUCAGCACUUGCAGAGAUACUGGUAAGAGGUGGGCUUGAACAUGUAAAAUUAGUUUUGUUCGUUCCAUGUGUGAAUCAGAAUUAAAAUUAAAGUCUGAGAA